rnacentral:rRNA from 1 species
AACGAACGCUGGCGGCAUGCCUAACACAUGCAAGUCGAACGAGACCUUCGGGUCUAGUGGCGCACGGGUGCGUAACGCGUGGGAACCUGCCCUUAGGUUCGGAAUAACUCCCCGAAAGGGGUGCUAAUACCGGAUAAUGUCUUCGGACCAAAGAUUUAUCGCCUUUGGAUGGGCCCGCGUUGGAUUAGCUAGUUGGUAGGGUAAAAGCCUACCAAGGCGACGAUCCAUAGCUGGUCUGAGAGGAUGAUCAGCCACACUGGGACUGAGACACGGCCCAGACUCCUACGGAAGGCAGCAGUGGGGAAUAUUGGACGAUGGGCGAAAGCCUGAUCCAGCAAUGCCGCGUGAGUGAUGAAGGCCUUAGGGUUGUAAAGCUCUUUUACCCGGGAUGAUAAUGACAGUACCGGGAGAAUAAGCUCCGGCUAACUCCGUG